rnacentral:rRNA from 1 species
UGACCCGUCUUGAAACACGGACCAAGGAGUCUAACAUGUGCGCGAGUCAUGGGGUUUUUCACUAAACCCACAAGGCGCAAUGAAAGUGAGAGGCCGUCCCUCUCGUCGCUCCGGCGGCGCGGAGGGGUCGCGCCCCAGGCAGGAUCCUCUGGUUAACGGAGGCGCACUGCCGGCCCGUCUCGUCUGCAGGCGCCUUAUCCCUACCCUUCGCGGGGUGGUGGGUUGGCGUCCACCGUCAGUGAGGCGGAGCAAGAGCGCACACGUUGGGACCCGAAAGAUGGUGAACUAUGCCUGAGCAGGACGAAGCCAGAGGAAACUCUGGUGGAGGUCCGUAGCGAUUCUGACGUGCAAAUCGAUCGUCAAACUUGGGUAUAGGGGCGAAAGACUAAUCGAACCAUCUAGUAGCUGGUUCCUUCCGA